AGUGAACGCUGGCGGCGUGCUUAACACAUGCAAGUCGAACGGUAACAGGAACUAGCUUGCUAGUUUGCUGACGAGUGGCGCACGGGUGAGUAAUAUAUAGUUAAUGUACCCCAAAGACUGGGAUAGCCACUGGAAACGGUGAUUAAUACUAGAUACACCUCUUUAAUAUAAGUUAGAGAGGGAAAUGUUUUUUCGCUUUGGGAUCAGACUAUAUCCUAUCAGUUAGUUGGUGAGGUAAUGGCUCACCAAGGCAAUGACGGGUAGCGGUUCUGAGAGGAUGAUCCGCCACACUGGUACUGAGACACGGACCAGACUCCUACGGGAGGCAGCAGUGAGGAAUAUUGCACAAUGGGGGGAACCCUGAUGCAGCAACGCCGCGUGGAGGAUGACGCAUUUCGGUGUGUAAACUCCUUUUAUAUGUCAAGAAAAUGACGGUAGCAUAUGAAUAAGCACCGGCUAACUCCGUGCCAGCAGCCGCGGUAAUGUA
rnacentral:rRNA from 1 species